AUUGAACGCUGGCGGCAGGCCUAACACAUGCAAGUCGAACGAGUGGCGGAAGGGUGAGUAAUGUCUGGGAAACUGCCCGUUGGAGGGGGAUAAAUACUGGAAACGGUAGCUAAUACCGCAUAACAUUUGAUGUGCCCAGAUGGGAUUUGCUUUUUGGUGGGGUAACGGCUCACCAGGGCGACGAUCCCUAGCUGGUCUGAGAGGAUGACCAGCAACAAUGUAACGUAGACACGGGCCUGAGUCGUUGGGGAGGCAGCAGUGGGGGAUAUUGCACGAUUGGCGCAAGCCUGAUGCAGCCAUGCCGAAUGUAUGCAGAAGGCCUUCGGGUUGUAAAGUACUUUCAGCGGGGAGGCGUUACCCGCAGAAGAAGCACCUGCUAACUCCGUGCCAGCAGCCGCGGUAAUUC
rnacentral:rRNA from 1 species